rnacentral:lncRNA from 1 species
UGUUGGUGUUCCUCCUUCCUUCAUGACACCAACAACAUCUCGGAAAUUUCCUUUGUCACCAACUGUAAGAGCUCUGUUUGCUUUGAUAGUCUUGACAACCCAUAACCUAAUUUUGAAUUUCAUUGAUGUGCCAGGUUAGAGUUUGUCACUUUUCACAUCAGGGUGUUGGUGAACCAAUUCUCCUUCCUUGUCUGCCUCCUGAUG